rnacentral:rRNA from 1 species
GACGAACGCUGGCGGCGUGCUUAACACAUGCAAGUCGUACGGUAAGGCCCUUUCGGGGGUACACGAGUGGCGAACGGGUGAGUAACACGUGAGUAACCUGCCCACAACUUUGGGAUAACGCUAGGAAACUGGUGCUAAUACUGGAUAUGUGCUCCUGCUGCAUGGUGGGGGUUGGAAAGCUCCGGCGGUUGUGGAUGGACUCGCGGCCUAUCAGCUUGUUGGUGGGGUAGUGGCCUACCAAGGCGGCGACGGGUAGCCGGCCUGAGAGGGUGACCGGCCAAUUGGGGCCUGGGAAAGGCCCCAGCCUCCAACGGGGGGCAGCGGUGGGGAAUAUUGCACAAUGGGCGCAAGCCGGUGGCAGCACCCCGGCGUCCGGGAUGACGGCCUUCGGUUUGUAACCCGCUUUCAGCGGGGACGAAGCUUUUGUGACGGUACCUGCAGAAGAAGCACCGGCUAACUACGUG